AACGAACGCUGGCGGCAUGCCUAACACAUGCAAGUCGAACGAGACCUUCGGGUCUAGUGGCGCACGGGUGCGUAACGCGUGGGAACCUGCCCUUAGGUUCGGAAUAACUCCCCGAAAGGGGUGCUAAUACCGGAUAAUGUCUUCGGACCAAAGAUUUAUCGCCUUUGGAUGGGCCCGCGUUGGAUUAGCUAGUUGGUAGGGUAAAAGCCUACCAAGGCGAGGAUCCAUAGCUGGUUUGAGAGGAUGAUCAGCCACACUGGGACUGGGACACGGCCGGGACUCCUACGGGAGGGAGCAGUGGGGAAUAUUGGACAGUGGGGGGAGGCCUGAUGCAGCAAGGCCGCGUGAGUGAUGAAGGCCUUGGGGUUGUAAAGCUCUUUUACCCGGGAUGAUAAUGACAGUACCGGGAGAAUAAGCUCCGGCUAACUCCGUG
rnacentral:rRNA from 1 species